rnacentral:tRNA from 1 species
GGUUCCAUAGUAUAGCAAUUAUCGCAUCUGCUUUACAGGCAGAAGGUCCUGGCUUUGAGCACCAGUAAAACUA